AUUGAACGCUGGCGGCAGGCCUAACACAUGCAAGUCGAACGGUAGCACAGAGAGCUUGCUCUCGGGUGACGAGUGGCGGACGGGUGAGUAAUGUCUGGGAAACUGCCCGAUGGAGGGGGAUAACUACUGGAAACGGUAGCUAAUACCGCAUAACGUCGCAAGACCAAAGUGGGGGACCUUCGGGCCUCACACCAUCGGAUGUGCCCAGAUGGGAUUAGCUAGUAGGUGGGGUAAUGGCUCACCUAGGCGACGAUCCCUAGCUGGUCUGAGAGGAUGACCAGCCAGACUGGAACUGAGACACGGGCCAGACUCCUACGGGAGGCAGCAGUGGGGAAUAUUGCACAAUGGGCGCAAGCCUGAUGCAGCCAUGCCGCGUGUAUGAAGAAGGCCUUCGGGUUGUAAAGUACUUUCGGCGGGGAGGAAGGCGGUGGAGUUAAUAACUUCACCGAUUGACGUUACCCGCAGAAGAAGCACCGGCUAACUCCGUGCCAGCCGCCGCCGUAA
rnacentral:rRNA from 1 species